AAUUAAUGCAAACAAGGUAAGUAAAAUUGAAGUUGUAUAAUAUUAAUUGCACUUUUUUGUGUUUAAAUGUUCAAACCAAAAAGAUGACGAGCGGUUCAUAAUAGAAAUAACGUGAAAACUAAAUCAAGCGUUCUAUCCAAAAUUUAUAAUAAAUAAAGCAAUAAACGAACACAAGAAUACAGAAGCAUAGAGAUAAAAGUGCUCACAACAACACCUGCCUAAAGAAGAGCUCCAAGCAACAAUUGGAAUUCUAAGCAAAAAUAAAAAAAGAAUGAAUAAUAGCAACGAAAAGGAAAAAAUGAGUGAUAAGAAAGGUCAAAGAAGAAUAGUUCGUGUCACAAAUGGGAAAAUGAUGGAAACUACAAAGACUAUGAUGUGUAAAUAUUAAUUGAACCAUUUAUUACUCUUAUCCAAUCCUUUUGUUCUUCAAAAUAUAGAUAAAAACAAGAUCUAAAUUCAUAUAAUUAACUAAUCAUGGCUUUAACACUACAAAUUUCAAACGGUUCCAAAUAAUCAAUCCUAAUCUUUUUUUCUAGAGCCAAAUAUCUCAUAAUCAAAUUCACCAAUAUCUUCGUAAACUCCUACCCGGGGAUUUUCCCGUAUGCACACUGAAGAUAGCGACUGCAUAUGCUCGCGACAUAAAAAAAUAUCACAAAAACCCUAAUGCACAUAGAAAUAGCGUGCUUUACCCAACGCGCACUAAAGAUAACGACCGUACGUAAAUUUCCACAUUAUAAAAAAUAUCACAAAUUACACCUAAUGCGUAUAAAGAUAGCGGUUGCAGAUUCUCACUACGCACAAAAAUUCAUAAUUUUUUGAAAAUUUUCAAUAGUAAAGGAGAAAUGUGACUUGUAUAUAUAUGUCAUGACACAAUACACAAUAGGCUAUAAUUAAUAACCAAAGAAAGAGGCUAUUCAAUAGAACAUCGAAGUGAUGGUUCAAUCUACAGUUGUUGAUAAAAUAAAUUCAGAAAAGACAACAAAAGGAUGACACCACUAUAAAAAGAAUAAGAUAGAAAUGGCAUGUAUUAUUUCACCUAGGAAAAUAUUGGAAUAUUACAAUACCUCCAAAUAUAAGCAAAAAGCAGAAAUAUAAAAAAAAAAGGCAGCAUGUAGUGGAAAGAAAUAAAAAAAACCUGAAAUUACUAUGGCACAGAGACUAGAUGGGGCAGCUCACAGAUUUGAACAGCAUCCUAUGUUUCUCAUUUUUCCAAAGCCUAAAAAGCUAAAUUGCAAAACUAAAGAUAUGACAAAUUUAAUGGUUGUGUGUCAUCUAUGUCUACCCACAUAUCUCAGACAUAACUCUCAGAUUCCACCAGUAUUACUAUAAAAUAAUAUUAAAUAUAAAUAUAAUAAACAAAUAUAGAGUUUUUUUAGUUUAGUAAAACAAAGAGUAAAAUAUGUAUUCACUGCAUUAUUCUCAUAUUCGGACAAAAGAAUGUAGUUUUCACAAUAACCAAACCCUAUAUAUAUAUAUAUUCGAUGUAAUAUUUUCUAGUAUUUAAAAAGUACAGUUAUUUAGUACAAACAUGUUCAGUACAAUAUUCUCAUUUUUUAUAAAAUGUAUAAUUCUCACAAUAUACACAUUUAAAUAUAUAUCUAGAGAGAGGCCAUGGAGAUUAUGGAGAAAUAUCACAGUUAUUUCAAUGCAAACAUACAUACAUAUAUGGAGUACAUAUAUAUAGAGAGAGAGAGGUUACAAAGAGUCAAAGAUUAUGGAGAAAAAUAGAUUGGAAUGUGGUGGAGAUUUAAGUAAUGGAUAUGGUUAGCAAUGGAACCCAUGAAAAGUGAAACAAGUAAUAAAAUAGAGUGAUUAUAUAUGAUUGUUUUAAAGGUGAUAAUAUUAUAUUAAGCAUAAUGGAACCAAAUCAUAUCUUUUUCACUAUACAGCUCGUGAUUAGGGUUUUAUUUUAAUGGGGAGUUUCAGUCAAACUUCUGUUCACUCGUAAAUCGCACCAUCUCUACUAUUCAUUCAACAAGAAGCAGUUGCAGUAAAUUUUUGCAGACAAUAAACCCCCAAUUCCGACGUUUCCCCUCGAACCAAUAAGUCAGAAGUUUGAGCCGAAACAACACCAUCACCUCUAUUUGGGGUUUGACAAAUCCAGCUGCUCAGUUGAUAAAUCGUUUUUUCAAUGAGUAAGAAGAUCGAGAUGGAAAAAAGCAGAAGCAGUCGCAUCUUGGCUGAUAAGACGUUUCCCCUCAAAUCAAAAGGUUCGAGAAAGAGAGGUUACCGGAGUUGAAGAUACGGACGGGGGCGUUGGUGAGGACGUUGAGCUGCGAUUCGAUGCGACGCAUAAAAUCCAUGGCUUCUUGCAAGGGACGAUUUAGCUCUUCUCGAUAUUUCACCAACAUAUCAUAUACUACCAUAAAUUGGUCGAGUUCCGGAUCCUUCGAGUACUCGUCUCGGCUCGCCACCGCCGCCCGCUGACGCGCCUCAAACUCCUCCCGCACGGCCGCCAGCCGCGCCACAACCUCGGCCGGCGCCCCAACCUUCAUAUG